CCUACGGGAGGCAGCAGUGGGGAAUAUUGCGCAAUGGUCGAAAGCCUGACGCAGCGACGCCGCGUGCGGGAUGAAGGUCUUCGGAUCGUAAACCUCUUUCAGCAGGGAGGAACGGUCACUGUGCUAAUCAGCAGUGAAUUGACGGUACCUGCAAAGGAAGCACCGUCUAACUCCGUGCCAGCAGCCGCGGUAAUACGGAGGGUGCGGGCGUUAAUCGGAAUUACUGGGCGUAAAGCGCUCGUAGGCGGGAUGUCAAGCCAAGGGUGAAAUCCCCGCGCUCAACGUGGGAACUGCCUUUGAAACUGGCAAGCUGGAGUGUGUGAGAGGAUAGUGGAAUUCGAGGUGUAGGAGUGAAAUCCGUAGAUAUCUGGAGGAACAUCAGUGGCGAAGGCGACUAUCUGGCACAUAACUGACGCUGAGGAGCGAAGGCGUGGGUAGCGAACAGGAUUAGAUACCCUAGUAGUC
rnacentral:rRNA from 1 species